AGCGAUUGUAGAGAACCGGUAUCUCACCAGUCUCAUAAGCUGGAUUUAAUCAGUUCGACUCUGAUCAUCGCUACCA
rnacentral:tRNA from 1 species